rnacentral:rRNA from 1 species
AGAGUUUGAUCAUGGCUCAGGACGAACGCUGGCGGCGUGCUUAACACAUGCAAGUCGAACGGAAAGGCCCUUCGGGGUACUCGAGUGGCGAACGGGUGAGUAACACGUGGGUGAUCUGCCCUGCACUUUGGGAUAAGCCUGGGAAACUGGGUCUAAUACCGAAUAGGACCAUGCACUUCCUGGUGUGUGGUGGAAAGCUUUUGCGGUGUGGGAUGAGCCCGCGGCCUAUCAGCUUGUUGGUGGGGUAAUGGCCUACCAAGGCGACGACGGGUAGCCGGCCUGAGAGGGUGACCGGCCACACUGGGACUGAGAUACGGCCCAGACUCCUACGGGAGGCAGCAGUGGGGAAUAUUGCACAAUGGGCGCAAGCCUGAUGCAGCGACGCCGCGUGAGGGAUGGCGGCCUUCGGGUUGUAAACCUCUUUCAGCACAGACGAAGCGCAAGUGACGGUAUGUGCAGAAGAAGGACCGGCCAACUACGUGCCAGCAGCCGCGGUAAUACGUAGGGUCCGAGCGUUGUCCGGAAUUACUGGGCGUAAAGAGCUCGUAGGUGGUUUGUCGCGUUGUUCGUGAAAACUCACAGCUUAACUGUGGGCGUGCGGGCGAUACGGGCAGACUUGAGUACUGCAGGGGAGACUGGAAUUCCUGGUGUAGCGGUGGAAUGCGCAGAUAUCAGGAGGAACACCGGUGGCGAAGGCGGGUCUCUGGGCAGUAACUGACGCUGAGGAGCGAAAGCGUGGGGAGCGAACAGGAUUAGAUACCCUGGUAGUCC